CUUGGACCCUGGGGAGCUGGACAGAGGAAUCCGGGCUCACAGCCCUGUAGCCCCAGGGUGCCAAGAGCGUUUGGUCUGGUGUGGUAUCUCCCGCAUCCCUCUCCGGCUUCAGCCUCCUUUCUUGUUACUCGCCGAUGGGUCGUGGAAUUCCUUGGUUCUCGGCUUCUCGAAGGAAAGAAUUCAGUCCAGAGACCUGAGAGUAAAGCAGUUAAAGCAGCAAAGGCUUUUAUUUAGCAAAGCGAAAGUACACUGCAGAGAUGGAGGAGCAGGUUGACCUGAGGGUGGGGAGCGGCUUGAUGAGUUCUGUCUUGUGUUUUCUUUCGCGAGUCUCUGGUGUCCUCUCUCCCAUCUUGUCAUCGUCACAGCACCCUCCGAUUCGCCCCGGUCUCCUCUCCGGCAACCUUCUGCACAGCAGUCUCCUGACUACCCACUUCCCUCUGGUCCUGAAGACCCCAAGAGUCUCACCGGCCUCUUGUAGGCCCUGAUGCUUCUUUGGCUCCAGCCCUAUUGGUGGUGCCCUCCACAAUAUAACAGUAGGUACCAUCCACUAACAAAUAUUUUAUAAAGCAAAGAAAAAGAAGAAAGGGAAAAGAAGAGGAAGACAAAUGACAGCUGCUACAGUCUGAAUGUUUAUGUUCCCCUAAAUUCAUGUGUUGAAGUCCUAAUGUUCAGUGUGAUAUUAUGAG
rnacentral:lncRNA from 1 species